rnacentral:tRNA from 2 species
GCCGCUGUAGCUCAGUCGGUAGAGCAGCACCAUGGUAAGGUGAAGGUCGUGUGUUCGAUUCACAUCAGUGGCACUA